GGGCUUGUAGUGCUAAUUGGUAAAACUCCUCGCUUGCACCGAGGGAUUGCGGGUUCGACUCCCGCCGGGUCCA
rnacentral:tRNA from 1 species